rnacentral:tRNA from 1 species
GUAAGUUGCUGACCAUAAGAAGGUUUUUACCAGACUACGAAUCUGAGGGUCGGGCGUUCGAAUCGCUCCGGGUGCGCCA